AUGGUGUCCAAGAAGCCAGGGUUUGUGCGUGCAUUCCUAGACCAAACUCUGCAGCUAAUGACCACGCACACGCCAGAGUUCCUUGGGCUAAGGAAUGGCACUGGGUUCUGGAGCCAAGCUGACUACGGGAAGGGAGUCAUCAUCGGGCUGCUCGACAGCGGCAUCUAUGCGGCGCACGCUUCCUUCAACGACCAUGGUGUUCCACCACCACCCACAAGGUGGAAGGGCUCGUGCGACGCGGCCCAGUGCAACAACAAGCUUAUUGGUGCCAAGUCACUGAUUGCGGGUGAUGACUCUGACGACGAAGAGGGGCAUGGAACACACACCUCAUCCACAGCCGCCGGAAACUUCGUAACCGGUGCAUCAUACAAUGGUGUGGGCACUGGCACUGCGGCCGGAAUUGCCCCGAGCGCCCACAUUGCCAUGUAUAAGGUAUGUGUUGCUCGUGACUGCAAGUCAUCUGCCAUACUGGCCGGCCUAGAAGAGGCCAUCAAGGAUGGGGUGGACGUACUCUCGCUCUCCCUUGGCAGCAGCACAAGCGCUAGCUUUGAUCAAGACCCCAUAUCUAUUGGCACGUUCAGUGCCGUGUCCAAGGGCAUCCUCGUGGUGUGCGCCGCUGGCAACAGUGGUCCGGCUCAACGCUCUGUCACCAACGAAGCACCCUGGUUGCUCACGGUCGCCGCUAGCUCCGUGGACCGGAGCUUUGGCGCCAACAUCCAUCUCGGCAAUGGGAAGAGCAUUGACGGAGAAGCACUUACCCAGAUAGCGAAUCCAAGCUCAGAGUUGCACUCUCUCCUUUACUCUGAGGAAUGGCGAUACUGCAAUUAUGACUAUGAUAGUAGCAUCACAUGUAAGAUCCUUGUUUGCAAGGACAAUAAGUCGAGGGCUCAAUUGUCCGAAAUCCGCAACAUCGUGGGCGCUGGCGCGACAGGCGUGGUGUUGUUCAAUGACGAAAUCAGCGGCUACACCACCAUUGUUACAGAUUACAACUCCAGUGUUGUACAAGUGACUGCGGCCGAUGUCGAGGCCCUCAUAGCUUACAUCGCGUCGACGAACAAUAGCUCUUUGGCGUCUCUUGCGUACAAUGGUACAAAGUUUGGCGUCCGCCCUGCCCCAGUCGUGGCUUCGUUUUCUUCCCGGGGACCAAGCUCAUUUGCCCCCAACAUCCUAAAGCCGGACAUACUGGCACCGGGCCUCAACAUCCUUGCUGCUUGGCCAUAA
rnacentral:rRNA from 1 species